CGGCGCCCGGCGCCGCCCGGCGCUGCCUGGACUACGAGCAGCCGCCGCAGAACGGCUCGUUGGCGGCGCUGCCCCCGGCCGAGCGCGGCGCGUGCCGCAACUGCCGCAACAACAACAGGUGCUCGGGAAAGCCGCCGGAGCCGCUCAGC